rnacentral:rRNA from 1 species
AGAGUUUGAUCAUGGCUCAGAAUCAACGCUGGCGGCGUGCCUAACACAUGCAAGUCGAACGAGAAAGUGGAGCAAUCCAUAGAGUAAAGUGGCGACCGGGUGAGUAACACGUGACUAACCUACCCUAGAGUGGGGAAUAACCUCGGGAAACCGGGGCUAAUACCGCAUAAAAUCGCGAGGGGAAGAUCCUUGUGAUCAAAGGAGCAAUUCGCUCAAGGAGGGGGUCGCGGCUGAUUAGCUAGUUGGUGAGGUAACGGCUUACCAAGGCUAAGAUCAGUUCCGGCCUGAGAGGGCGCACGGCACCUGGAACUGAAACACGGCCAGACUCUCGGGAGGCACAGUGGGGAAUUUUGCGCAUGGGGGAGCCCUGCCAGCAACCCGCGUGGAGGAUGAAGCCCUUGGGAUGUAACUUCCUUCAUCGGGCCAUUUGACGGUCCCGAAAAAA